UCUUUCCACACACUCAAUCUCCUGGACCACCUCCUCCUACACUUGUGCAAGGAAAACUUUAUUGUCCUGAUUUUGUAGAUACCUAAAAUCUGAAGUUCAGGUGCGUUUGGUUAUUUCGUCCCAGGCACACGUUUGUAAGAGGCACAGAUUUGAUGCAAACUCUAUUCAUCAUACUCCAAGUUCAGAGCCAUUUCACAGAGGGAAUUCGGCCCCGGCACAUCUUCCCCUGACCAGGAGCUGGCCUGGAGGGUAAGGACAUGGCUGGUCAUGCACAUGAGGGUGAGUGACUCUCUUGCUUCGGUUUUCUCACCUGUGAAAUGGGACAGUAGCGGUCCACGAGUGGGCGGCGUAGGGAACAACAGAACUAGCUCAUGCAGACCGCUCAGCACGGGGACUUGGCACACAUGCUGAGCACUAAAUAAAUGCUAGGGUUUUGAAGAAGUUUGGCUACACCCUCCAGACCCAGGGGGGGCAUGCCUCCGUUCAGCUUCAGUGUCUGCAGGGGCUGGGGGUACCUUUACACUCCGCCUCUUCCUCCUGCAGUCACAGGAAGCAGUAAAAACCGGAUCAGACACUGAACUCCACGUUUGCUUUUGCAAUUCGAGAGAGCCUGUCUCGCGCAGUGAAAGCUGCCUUGUGCAGCCGCUGCCAAGACAGAACGAGGAUGGCCUGGGCCAGGGAGCCAGCCUGCUCCAGGGUCGCCAGACGCCUGGUGGGGGAGGGGAGGGGAGCCUCGGUGCGCUGCCCGCGGUGCUGAACUUGGGCAUUUUGACCUCGCUGGGUGGGGGCUGUCCGCGGUGCUGAACUCAGGCAUUUGGUCUCACUGGGGGGGCGCUGUCCAUGGUGCUGAACUGGGGCUCCAGCGGCUGCUCGGCGCUGUCCGCGGUGCUGAAUCCGGUGCUGAACCGGGGCUCCAGCCACGCCCGGGCAGCGUGUCGCGUCCAUUGUCACCAGAGUCCGUGGGCAUCUUCCAGAAGGCCGAGUAUUGGGGUCAGGUGAGACCAGGGCGGUUUCUGCAAAAAUUUGAGAUUCUGCUCCCACCUUCAGUUCCUGCAAAAAUCCAGACACCUAUCACCCAGCCCGGCUCCGCAACCGUUUCCUACAAAAGUCCAGGCCCCUACGCAUCUCAUCCCCACGCGACAAUGCAAAAAUAAAAAAAGCUAAAUCCGUUUUCCA